rnacentral:rRNA from 1 species
CUUAAGCAUAUCAAUAAGCGGAGGAAAAGAAACCAACAGGGAUUGCCUUAGUAGCGGCGAGUGAAGCGGCAAAAGCUCAAAUUUGAAAUCUGGCACUUUCAGUGUCCGAGUUGUAAUUUGAAGAAGGUAUCUUUGGGUCUGGCUCUUGUCUAUGUUUCUUGGAACAGAACGUCACAGAGGGUGAGAAUCCCGUGCGAUGAGAUGACCCAGACCUAUGUAAAGUUCCUUCGAAGAGUCGAGUUGUUUGGGAAUGCAGCUCUAAGUGGGUGGUAAAUUCCAUCUAAAGCUAAAUAUUGGCGAGAGACCGAUAGCGAACAAGUACAGUGAUGGAAAGAUGAAAAGAACUUUGAAAAGAGAGUGAAAAAGUACGUGAAAUUGUUGAAAGGGAAGGGCUUGAGAUCAGACUUGGUAUUUUGUAUGUUACUCUUUCGGGGGUGGCCUCUACAGUUUACCGGGCCAGCAUCAGUUUGGGCGGUAGGAGAAUUGCAAAGAAAUGUGGCACUGCUUCGGUAGUGUGUUAUAGUCUUUGUCGAUACUGCCAGCCUAGACUGAGGACUGCGGCUUCGGCCUAGGAUGUUGGCAUAAUGAUCUUAAGUCGCCCGUCUUGAAACACGGACCAAGGAGUCUAACGUCUAUGCAAGUGUUUGGGUGUAAAACCCGUACGCGUAAUGAAAGUGAACGUAGGUAGGACCUCCUUUAGGAGUGCACUAUCGACCGAUCCUGAUGUCUUCGGAUGGAUUUGAGUAAGAGCAUAGCUGUUGGGACCCGAAAGAUGGUGAACUAUGCCUGAAUAGGGUGAAGCCAGAGGAAACUCUGGUGGAGGCUCGUAGCGGUUCUGACGUGCAAAUCGAUCGUCGAAUUUGGGUAUAGGGGCGAAAGACUAAUCGAACCAUCUAGUAGCUGGUUCCUGCCGAGU